rnacentral:rRNA from 1 species
CCACACCUACGGGGGGCAGCAGUGGGGAAUAUUGCACAAUGGGGGGAACCCUGAUGCAGCGACGCCGCGUGGGUGAAGGAGUACUUCGGUACGUAAAGCCCUAUCAGCAGGAAAGAAAAUGACGGUACCUGACUAAGAAGCCCCGGCUAACUACGUGCCAGCAGCCGCGGUAAUACGUAGGGGGCAAGCGUUAUCCGGAUUUACUGGGUGUAAAGGGAGCGUAGACGGUCCUGCAAGCCAGAUGUGAAAGCCCGGGGCUCAAUCCCGGGACUGCAUUUGGAACUGUAAGGCUAGAGUGUCGGAGA